rnacentral:sRNA from 1 species
UCCAAUGGCCCCUUCUCUCGUCCUUCUUCUUCUGUCUAACAAUACACUACCACACACUUUCACGCUCUCUUCUCUCACACCUUUCUUCUUCCUCACCCAAAAUUCUUCUCUCUAUGUUCUUCUUCAUCUUCUAGCUCUCUCAUCUCUUCUUCUCGCCAUAGCUUCACCUUCCUUCUCAAGCUGUACAGUUAAAGCUUAAGGUAUUAUAACCUCACCUUCUCUCUCUCUCUCUC